GAUGAACGCUGGCGGCGUGCUUAACACAUGCAAGUCGAACGAUGAACCGGGUGCUUGCACUCGGGGAUUAGUGGCGAACGGGUGAGUAACACGUGAGUAACCUGCCCUUGACUCUGGGAUAACUGCGGGAAACUGUAGCUAAUACCGGAUACGACCCUCGGCGGCAUCGCCAGGGGGUGGAAAGAAUUUCGGUCAAGGAUGGACUCGCGGCCUAUCAGCUAGUUGGUGAGGUAACGGCUCACCAAGGCGACGACGGGUAGCCGGCCUGAGAGGGUGACCGGCCACACUGGGACUGAGACACGGCCCAGACUCCUACGGGAGGCAGCAGUGGGGAAUAUUGCACAAUGGGCGCAAGCCUGAUGCAGCAACGCCGCGUGAGGGAUGACGGCCUUCGGGUUGUAAACCUCUUUUGUCAGGGAAGAAACACCGGCUCUAACACAGUCCGGGAAUGACGGUACCUGAAGAAUAAGCACCGGCUAAC
rnacentral:rRNA from 1 species